UACGUAGGGGGCAAGCGUUGUCCGGAUUUACUGGGCGUAAAGCGCGUGUAGGCGGAAGCGAAAGUCCGGUGUGAAAGCCCCCGCUCAACGGGGGAAGGUCGCUGGAAACUGCGCUUCUUGAGGGCGGCAGAGGGAAGUGGAAUUGCUGGUGUAGCGGUGAAAUGCGUAGAGAUCAGCAGGAACACCCGUGGCGAAGGCGGCUUCCUGGGCCGCGCCUGACGCUGAGGCGCGAAAGCUAGGGGAGCGAACGGG
rnacentral:rRNA from 1 species